rnacentral:rRNA from 1 species
CUCUGGGAUAAGCCUGGGAAACUGGGUCUAAUACCGGAUAUGACUGCUCCGCGCAUGCGGUGGUGGUGGAAAGCUUUUGCGGUUUUGGAUGGACUCGCGGCCUAUCAGCUUGUUGGUGGGGUAAUGGCCUACCAAGGCGACGACGGGUAGCCGGCCUGAGAGGGUGACCGGCCACACUGGGACUGAGACACGGCCCAGACUCCUACGGGAGGCAGCAGUGGGGAAUAUUGCACAAUGGGCGAAAGCCUGAUGCAGCGACGCCGCGUGAGGGAUGACGGCCUUCGGGUUGUAAACCUCUUUCAGUAGGGAAGAAGCUUUCGGGUGACGGUACCUGCAGAAGAAGCGCCGGCUAACUACGUGCCAGCAGCCGCGGUAAUACGUAGGGCGCAAGCGUUAUCCGGAAUUAUUGGGCGUAAAGAGCUCGUAGGCGGUUUGUCGCGUCUGCUGUGAAAGACCGGGGCUCAACUCCGGUUCUGCAGUGGGUACGGGCAGACUAGAGUGAUGUAGGGGAGACUGGAAUUCCUGGUGUAGCGGUGAAAUGCGCAGAUAUCAGGAGGAACACCGAUGGCGAAGGCAGGUCUCUGGGCAUUAACUGACGCUGAGGAGCGAAAGCAUGGGGAGCGAACAGGAUUAGAUACCCUGGUAGUCCAUGCCGUAAACGUUGGGCACUAGGUGUGGGGGACAUUCCACGUUUUCCGCGCCGUAGCUAACGCAUUAAGUGCCCCGCCUGGGGAGUACGGCCGCAAGGCUAAAACUCAAAGGAAUUGACGGGGGCCCGCACAAGCGGCGGAGCAUGCGGAUUAAUUCGAUGCAACGCGAAGAACCUUACCAAGGCUUGACAUGGACUAGUAAAGCGCAGAAAUGUGUUCCCCUCUUUGAGGCUGGUUUACAGGUGGUGCAUGGUUGUCGUCAGCUCGUGUCGUGAGAUGUUGGGUUAAGUCCCGCAACGAGCGCAACC